CCAGCAGCUGCGGUAAUUCCAGCUCCAGUAGCGUAUAUUAAAGUUGUUGCAGUUAAAAAGCUCGUAGUUGGAUUUCUGACUUCAGACACCUGACCCUCCCUCGCUAGAGGUGUGAGUGCCGGAGUGUUUGUAUCAUCCUUUCAGUGAUCGGUUCUACCCUUAACCGGGUCGGAGCUGCUAACUGGAUCUUUUACUUUGAAGAAAUUGGAGUGUUUAAAGCAGGCUUACGCCAGAACAUAUUAGCAUGGAAUAAUAAUUUAGGACUUUUGUUCUAUUUUGUUGGUUUCUAGGACGAAAGUAAUGAUUGAUAGGGAUAGUUGGGGGUGCUAGUAUUCGGCGGCCAGAGGUGAAAUUCUUUGAUCCGCUGAAGACUAACUUAUGCGAAAGCAUUCACCAAGGAUGUCUUCU
rnacentral:rRNA from 1 species